AGCUCUCCGAGUGGUGUGGAUGUUUAUUGGGCCUAAAGCAUCCGUAGCUGGCUAGGUCAGUCCCUUGUUAAAUCCACCGAAUUAAUCGUUGGAUUGCGGGGGGAUACUGCUUGGCUAGGGGACGAGAGAGGCAGACGGUAUUUUCGGGGUAGGGGUGAAAUCCUAUAAUCCCGGGAAGACCACCAGUGGCGAAGGCUGUCUGCUAGAACGCGCCCGACGGUGAGGGAUGAAAGCUGGGGGAGCGAACC
rnacentral:rRNA from 1 species